rnacentral:rRNA from 1 species
AACGAACGCUGGCGGCAGGCUUAACACAUGCAAGUCGAGCGCCCCGCAAGGGGAGCGGCAGACGGGUGAGUAGCGCGUGGGGACGUACCUUUUGGUUCGGAACAACUCCGGGAAACUGGAGCUAAUACCGGAUAAGCCCUAACGGGGAAAGAUUUAUCGCCGAAAGUUCGGCGCGCGUCUGAUUAGCUAGUUGGUGAGGUAACGGCACACCAAGGCGACGAUCAGUAGCUGGUCUGAGAGGAUGAUCAGCCACACUGGGACUGAGACACGGCCCAGACUCCGACGGGAGGCAGCAGUGGGGAAUAUUGGACAAUGGGCGCAAGCCUGAUCCAGCCAUGCCGCGUGAGUGAGGAAGGCGUUAGUGUUGUAAAGCUCUUUUGUCCGGGAAGAUAAUGACGGUACCGGAAGAAUAAGCCCCGGCUAACUUCGUG